UGGGUCUAAUGUAUUGAUGUUGAGAGCCCAUAGCAUCCGAGGGCUAUCUCCCAAGCCUGGAAGAACAGUCCUAGCCCUGGAAAAGAGAACUUCAUAUCAUAACUUUGGGAAAAUAGGAACUGUUGGCAUAAACACUUUUUGACCACAAGGAAGAAGGCUGGAAAUCUUGUUGGCAUUAAUAUCUGAGAUGAGAGGGCACCACCUUCUAGCAAGAGUCUUGUGAGGCGAAGCCGGCUCUGAUGGACUGCUUUGAUGAGGGAAUUUCCAUCACUUGAAAUCUCUACACCUUCAUCCAUCUUCAGAAGUUAGAAUCAAUACCUGGUUAUCAAAGAAGACGAAGAACAAAAGAUUAGCCAGAAUCAAUGGUUCGAUUUAUAUUCAUGUUUUUAUUCAAUUUCUAAAGUGUGUGUACAGGACACAAAUGAGAUUAUGUUAUUAAUAAAUACACAACAAAAUAGUGAAUUGCAAAAAAGAAAUUUUAGGAUAGUAACAACCUUUAGGGAAUUACAAACUACAUUUACUUUCAAAAUGUUCAUUGAGUAUUUAUGAUAUAACAUCAACCUAGUACUUCCCUAAAUCCCAUAUUAAUUAAGCAGUGAUCCACUUAUUUUUUACUUGUGAAAAAUAUUUUAAAAAUAAUACUAAAAUGCAAAUUUAAGCAAAAAAGCCAAAAUUCUGUGUAACAGCAACUGAGUCAAUUAAAAUAUAACAUGUUUACAGUAGUUUAAUGCAAAAACUUCUUGUAUUAAAUUAUUUAAACAUGCUCUAGUUAAAUAAUGCAACUAAUACUAGAUUUUCAAUUUUAUGGGGAAUUUCUGUUUCUUUUAAAGGGUGAAAAGUAUUUGGAUUAUAAGACAUAAAAGUUACUGACAAGAUGUCUGGAAUUCACACUGAGGUAGGAAUGGUAAGCAUGUGAUUAUGUAUUUUUCUUGAUCCCAUUAUUUAAUCAUACACUGACUAGAUUAUGGGGUUAGCAACAUACUGUUCGGUUAAAUUUUGACAGCAGUACAUUUGCUCUGAAAAAGAAGUUUUCUAGGCUAGAAAAGUGAAUGAAGACAUGGAGACUUCAUAAACAUUUCAUUUUUUAUCAUUAAAACUGAAAAUUGUAUAUGUUUAUUUUUUAAAUUUAUAUUCAAACUCCUUCAACAAAUAAUUCUAUUAGUUGAUAAGAAUUUUGAAUUUACUUACCUAGAACUGAGGAAAUAUUUCUUUUAAAAGUCCUUAGUGCUGGGGAGAAAAACAAAUGACAUUUAUAUAAUAUUUAAAUCUGUUUAAUUAGGUGGCUUUUAGAAACUAAGAAGUAUUAUUAAUUAUACUCAUUUUUAAAAUGAAGACUGUGGGACAUGAAUUUCAAUUGGAUAACAGAAUACAUAAUACAUAUAAUGAUCUCUUAACAGAAGAGAAUAGCAGAAAGAAAGUGAAGAAAAAGGGACAAGAUAGACACACACACAGAAAUCGAUUCAAUUGUUAAACAGCUAUAAACUCCUAAAACGUGCUGGACACUGAGCUACAAAGAUACAAGCCCUAGCCCUGAGGAGCUUGCAUAGUUGUUUAGAAGAGAUACUACAGAAACAGCUGGUUAUGAGUUAAAGUCAUGAGAACCUCCAGGCUUAAUGGCAUGGGACUGAAGGGGGGCAUUCAGACGCCAGUCAUUUGAGCUGGGUCUUGAAGACUGCCUAAGAGUUCAGUAGGCAGACGAAGGAAGAGAGUAGAGGACAUUCCUUGUGCAAAGACCUAGAAAGUUAAAUAGCAAAAUUAUUUGUCAUAAAUCAGGCUUUAUUUAUGCCAAUAUACCAAACUUCAGGAAAAUAUUUUAGCAGAUGGUUAUAGUUAGGGUGAACAUGGCAGAACACAAAUAUCUAAUUUUGCCCCUUCCUGAAACCCCCUAAAACUAAAUAAUUUUUAAUAAGACAUAGGCUCACAAAGAUAACAGGAAAAGGAGAGAAGAUGACAGUGACAUUUUGGAAGCCAGAAAGCAGCUGGGCCAGUGGUAACUGACUUGGCCAACCUGCAAAGGCUGUGCCUUGAGUCACUGGUGGGAGAGCUGAGAACUAAGCCCAUGUACACUAUGGACUUCGAGAGAGGCAGCAGCAGGCAGCUCUAGCUCUUGGGGGUGGAGAGUACAGCUAAAGCAACGAGGACUAGGUGAAAAGCUGCUGGAGAAGCAGUUAGAUCCCAAGGUCCUUGCUGCUGGAAGUGUGAACUUACCUGGGACCAGCAGAAGCAGUACGUGAAGCCUGUUAGAAUGCAGCCUAGGCUGCACCCUAGACCUCCUAAAUCACAGCCUACAUUUUAAGUAGAUCCCCACAUUAAAGUGUUAGAGGAACUGCCUCAGGUCAUUCCUUCACUCCAGGCCACUCAUACACAGGAAAAUGUACCUCUCUCUUGAGCAGAUGGCCAGAGGUUUGUGCUCCAGAAAUGGUGGAACAGAGGGUCUCUAGACUGGGAGACACUUUCCAUGUAAAGGACAAGAAUGUGGAGGAAUAAGUGAUUGCAUGUUUCCUGACCACAGAACAAAGGUACUCACAGCCUCCUUCCCCAACUCAGCUCCAAGACAGCUGGUAGAAAUACCCUUGUCCUCAGGAGAAAAUUGCUAUUCUUUUCUCUCAGGAAUUUGACCUGCCCAGGAGAAACUACCCGAGUACUGACCACAGAAUCCCCAACAUGCCAACAGAUCAUCCCGCAGUAAAGCUUAAAGGGAACAAGACUCACUUGAAAAGAGAAAAGAAAAAUAAGCAAAGGGAGUGGUUAAUACAAAAGUCACAAUAAAGUUACUUCUUGGUGGCGGUAGGGAGAACAAUGCAAUUUGGGAUGAACACAGGUUUUUAAGGUUCAGGUUAUGUUCUGUAUCUUAAUCUGGGUGGUGUGUGUAUGGGUGUCCAUUUUAUUCUUAAUACAUAUUUCACAUACUCUUCUGCAGGAUAGUAUUCAUCUAUUUAUUGUAAAAUAGAGCAUAUAUACAGAAAAGGAAGCAUUUAUCUAAGAAAUGUUUCAUAAUUAAAAUUUAAAAGAGCCAUAUUCUUACAUUUUACAACAUAAUUUAGUUUUUGUAGUAUCAUCAAUAGUAUUUGUGCCUAGAAUUUCAAGGAGUUUCAACCAGUAAGCUCCUGAAAGACAGUAUUCAAAAGAAUGUACUUACUCAUUUUCAGUUUAGUAUCAUUCAUGAUGUUACAAAGAACACCUACUCAGAAUAUACAUACAUAAAUACAUGAAAAUGAAUGGUGUGAUUUUUGCCUCUUGUGCAACAUUCUUUAAAAGCUAUUCCAGAGCUAGACAUACCUGCAACUCAAGAAGUUAGUAAUUUAGGAUUGAUUGAUAGCUUGGAUUCCAACUCAGAAGUCUAUUCUGAAUGCAAAACAUUUGGAAAGAGCUCAUCUGAGAAAAUCAUCACAAAAGAAACUGUCUUUUAGCAUUUUUCAUAUACAAACGGGCUUAAUAAAGCAAAGAGAUUUAGACAAUUGAGCUGGAACAUAAUACCAAAUAUAGAAACCACUUAGUAAGUGCAAUUCAGGAAGAGAUACAGCAUCAAUCAUGUAAAAACACCUUUGACCAAAAGUGGCAUUGAGAAACAGAUUUUCAAAUGAGAACAAAUUGCCAGAUACCAGUC